AAGCCCAACGAGGGAACAAGAAGCAGAAAAUCCAAAGAUCGAGGAUGCUAUCAUUAUCGAACAACUCUUUGAAAAUUCUGUGAAAUGACAGCUGUAGUUGCAUGGAGGACCCAUUUAUGCUUUCACCAUCCUCUCUUAUUCCAUAUUCGGCAUUGCAGCAGCUCUGUUAUAGCAGUUGCAUCAACCACUGAACACAAAGAAGAGGGUCGUCUUCCAGUAAUUAAUUCUGCCUCCAAAAAAGAAAAAGCAGUAAAUGGUGAAAGAAAGGCACCUGAAUGGAAGAAGCUGGACGCUGAAGAACUUGGAAUCAGUAAUUCAAUGAUAUCAAGACCUACAAGAGUUGUGCUUAAUGGGCUCAAGAAGAAAGGAUACGAGGUCUACCUUGUUGGAGGUUGUGUAAGGGAUCUUAUCUUAAAGAGAAUCCCAAAAGACUUUGAUGUUGUAACUUCAGCUGAACUCAAGCAGGUAAGAAAAGCCUUUCAUCAAUGUGAAAUUGUCGGGAAACGGUUUCCUAUAUGCCAUGUGCAUGUGGAUGAUGCCAUUGUGGAGGUUUCAAGUUUUAGCACUUCUCAAUUGAAGUCUGAUGGGAAAUUCAACGGUAAUGUCAGAAAACCUCUAGGUUGCAGUGAGCGUGAUUUUAAACGAUGGAGGAACUGCUUGCAGCGGGACUUUACAAUCAACGGGUUGAUGUUCGAUCCAUAUGCGAACAUAGUGUAUGACUAUAUGGGAGGAAUGACAGACAUUAAGAAAACCAAAGUCCGUACUGUAAUACCUGCAAAUCUUUCUUUCAUGGAGGAUAGUGGUCGCAUUUUACAUGCAAUCAGAAUUGCUGCCCGCUUACAGUUUGGUUUUACUAGAGAUCUUGCUCUUUCUCUAAAAGAGCUUUCUCAUUCUGUGCUUAGGCUGGACAAGGGUAGGAUACUCUUGGAACUGAAUUAUAUGUUGGCAUAUGGAUCUGCAGAAGCUUCUUUGAGAUUAAUGUGGAGAUUUGGACUUCUAGAGAUCCUUCUACCCAUCCAAGCAUCUUAUUUUGUUUCCCAAGGCUUUCGAAGAAGGGAUGAGAGAUCUAAUAUGCUUCUGUCGUUGUUUUCCAAUCUUGAUAGACUAGUAGCACCUGAUCGGCCAUGCCACACUAGCUUAUGGUUAGGCAUUUUCGCUUUCCAUAAGGCUCUGGUUGAUCAGCCUCAAGAUCCAUUGGUAGUUAUUGCAUUUAGCCUUGCUGUCCGCAGUGGUGGAUCUUUACUGGAAUCCGUGGAAAUUGCAAGGAGGAUAUCCCAACCAUAUCAAUCCAAUUUCCCCGAAUUAUUGGAAGUACAGAAUCCAGAUUCAAAUAAUGCAUUGAUGCAUAAAACCAUCAAUUUUGCUGCACUGGUCAAAACUGCGUUAUGCAAUAUGACUGAUGGAUGUUAUGUCUCUAAAGCAAUGGUUAGAUACCCCAAAGCACCAUCCUCAGAUUUGGUUUUUAUCCCCAUGGCCUUGUUUCUAAAAGUGAGCAAGAUUUUUGAAUGCGUUAGAAGGGGCAUGGAGACAAGAUUUGUGCGCAGACAGGGGCGGAAGAUUGACUAUGAGUGUUUGGCAAUGGGUAGCUUGGAGGAGGUUAGACAUGUAUUUGCAAGGAUAGUUUUCGACACUGUUUUCCCUCCAAUUCAAAGACCUUGACCGUACAUUACCAUUUGAUUAAUGACUUAUUUACCAUCCAAUCUAUCAGAGUUUUAUGUGAUAUUGAAGUUAACACAAGCACCUCGAGAAAUGAAAAUUAGGUCAGAAGUUUUUUAAAUGCUAUGAUUGCUUGGUUUUUCCCCAGUGG